GAUGAACGCUGGCGGCGUGCCUAAUACAUGCAAGUCGAGCGAACAGACGAGGAGCUUGCUCCUCUGACGUUAGCGGCGGACGGGUGAGUAACACGUGGAUAACCUACCUAUAAGACUGGGAUAACUUCGGGAAACCGGAGCUAAUACCGGAUAAUAUAUUGAACCGCAUGGUUCAAUAGUGAAAGACGGUUUUGCUGUCACUUAUAGAUGGAUCCGCGCCGCAUUAGCUAGUUGGUAAGGUAACGGCUUACCAAGGCAACGAUGCGUAGCCGACCUGAGAGGGUGAUCGGCCACACUGGAACUGAUACACGGUCCAGACUCCUACGGGAGGCAGCAGUAGGGAAUCUUCCGCAAUGGGCGAAAGCCUGACGGAGCAACGCCGCGGGAGUGAUGAAGGUCUUCGGAUCGUAAAACUCUGUUAUUAGGGAAGAACAAAUGUGUAAGUAACUAUGCACAUCUUGACGGUACCUAAUCAGAAAGCCACGGCUAACUACGUG
rnacentral:rRNA from 1 species